GCCCGGCUAGCUCAGUUGGUAGAGCAUGAGACCCUUAAUCUCAGGGUCGUGGGUUCGAACCCCACGUCGGGCA